rnacentral:rRNA from 1 species
UGGGGAAUAUUGCGCAAUGGGCGAAAGCCUGACGCAGCGACGCCGCGUGAGGGAUGAAGGUUUUCGGAUCGUAAACCUCUGUCAGAAGGGAAGAAACCGCACUGUGCUAAUCAGCAGUGCCUUGACGGUACCUUCAAAGGAAGCACCGGCUAACUCCGUGCCAGCAGCUGCGGUAAUACGGAGGGUGCAAGCGUUAAUCGGAAUUACUGGGCGUAAAGCGCACGUAGGCUGCUUUGUGAGUCAGGGGUGAAAUCCCACGGCUCAACCGUAGUACUGCCUUUGAUACUCCUUAGCUUGAAUCCGGGAGAGAGUGGCGGUAUUCCAGGUGUAGAAGUGAAAUCCGUAGAUGUCUGGAGGAACAUCGCUGGCGAAAGCGGCCUCCUGGUCCGAUAUUGGCGCUGAGGUGCGAAAGCGUGGGGAGCAAACAGG